AAAGUUUACUCCUACUCCAUCUGCCGGACAUUACCGUAAUCAUUGGAUUAUCGCCCCUACAAGUUGCUGAUGCUAGUCAUUAAAUGAAACAACCUUAUCGACAUUUUCUUCAUUACCUGUACAUCAAGAAAAUGUUUUGUGUUGUGUAUUAAUGAUAAUCAGACAUCGAAAUUUGUAAAUACAAUGACAAAGACUCACGUUUAUGGUGGUAAAUUUUGCGAGGCGAUGCCAAUAUGGCGGCUUAACUUUCUUUUCCGCGCGAUGCAUUGUGGGAGUCAUAUACAUUUGUAUAUCUUUCUAUUUUUCUUUUUUCGAAAAUUUACUUCCCGUUUAAUACUGUUGAUAACUAUUAAAAAUACUUAUAUAUGUAGUUGAAAAUAAAAAUGAAACUAAAAUAAGAAUGAUUUAGAGUAGCAUAAAAUUUUGACGGAAACAGCCGGGGUGCUCUGUGCUGCUGGACCCUGAAAGAAGACGGCGGCUGAAAGAAGAUGGCGGGUAAUUCAUGUAGCAGGUGGAUGUCCCUGAAGAAAUGAAAUCUGGAAUGGUAGAAGGUAUCUCUUGAUUCUUCUAACUUGGAAUUGGCCAUUGUGACCAACAAUGGAUUUGAGGACCUUAUGGUGGAGAAAAACGUCCUUCUUUCCGACCUCCAAUUAGAUGUUGAAGAUGGUUAAUCACUUGAGGAUAUGCUAACAACCAUGUUGCCUUUUAAGGUCACAGUACUCUCUAAAGGCGGCAAUAUAUUUACCAUCACAAAAGAAGAAUCAACAAAUGGCAGAAACUAAACAAAUGUGGAAAAGAUCAUUGUAUGCUGCAUUUGUAGUAAAUUUCUUUACAAUCUUCAAUUUACUUAAGUAGAAAGAUUCACUAGUUAUACCAAGUUUAUGUAGAAAGGCUCACUGUAUACUGAGUUUGUAGUGUACAUAGAAAGGUUUACUUAUUUUUUUUUUCUGAGUUAUGUAUAUACAAUAUAUAUAAAAACUUUUUGUAGAAAAGAUCACCGCAUACUGAGUUUGUUGUUUACAAAUGUGUAGAAAAGAUUGCUGUAUACCGAGUUUAUAGUUUACAAUUGUCUAGAAAAAUCACUGUAUACUGAACAUAAUACGACUUCUGUUUAAAACCUUCAUUUAAACUUAGACAUGUAUUUUUUUUUAUUUAUCUUAAAAGUCUACCUACAACAAUUUUGUGUAUGCAAUCUUGUACUAGGAUAUUUACAUGACAAGAUUACAUUGCUGAUCAAAGCAUGGAAAGAAUACUGAAUAAAGAAAACAAGAUAUAAGCAUCUUUA